rnacentral:rRNA from 1 species
AUUGAACGCUGGCGGCAUGCUUUACACAUGCAAGUCGAACGGUAACAGGUUAAGCUGACGAGUGGCGAACGGGUGAGUAAUGCAUCGGAACGUGCCCGAUCGUGGGGGAUAACGCAGCGAAAGCUGCGCUAAUACCGCAUACGAUCUGAGGAUGAAAGCGGGGGACCGUAAGGCCUCGCGCGAUCGGAGCGGCCGAUGUCAGAUUAGGUAGUUGGUGGGGUAAAGGCUCACCAAGCCAACGAUCUGUAGCUGGUCUGAGAGGACGACCAGCCACACUGGGACUGAGACACGGCCCAGACUCCUACGGGAGGCAGCAGUGGGGAAUUUUGGACAAUGGGCGAAAGCCUGAUCCAGCAAUGCCGCGUGCAGGAAGAAGGCCUUCGGGUUGUAAACUGCUUUUGUACGGAGCGAAAAGGCUCUCUCUAAUACAGGGGGCUCAUGACGGUACCGUAAGAAUAAGCCCGGCUAACUACGUACCAGCCGCCGCGGUAA